rnacentral:rRNA from 1 species
GUCCACGCCGUAAACGAUGGAUACUAGCUGUUGGGAGCAAUCUCAGUGGCUAAGCGAAAGUGAUAAGUAUCCCACCUGGGGAGUACGAACGCAAGUUUGAAACUCAAAGGAAUUGACGGGGGCCCGCACAAGCGGUGGAGCAUGUGGUUUAAUUCGAUGAUACGCGAGGAACCUUACCAAGGCUUAAAUGCAGACUGACCGAUUUGGAAACAGAUCUUUCGCAAGACAGUUUACAAGGUGCUGCAUGGUUGUCGU